rnacentral:rRNA from 1 species
UACGUAGGGACCAAGCGUUGUCCGGAAUCAUUGGGCGUAAAGAGCGUGUAGGCGGCUUGUUAAGUCUUGCGUGAAAUCUCGGGGCUCAACCCCGAGCGGUCGUGAGAAACUGGCAGGCUAGAGUGCGGGAGAGGAGAGUGGAAUUCCUGGUGUAGCGGUGAAAUGCGCAGAUAUCAGGAAGUACACCCGUGGCGAAGGCGGCUCUCUGGAACGCAACUGACGCUGAGACGCGAAAGCGUGGGGAGCAAACAGG